rnacentral:rRNA from 1 species
GAUGAACGCUGGCGGCGUGCCUAAUACAUGCAAGUCGAGCGAACGGACGAGAAGCUUGCUUCUCUGAUGUUAGCGGCGGACGGGUGAGUAACACGUGGAUAACCUACCUAUAAGACUGGGAUAACUUCGGGAAACCGGAGCUAAUACCGGAUAAUAUUUUGAACCGCAUGGUUCAAAAGUGAAAGACGGUCUUGCUGUCACUUAUAGAUGGAUCCGCGCUGCAUUAGCUAGUUGGUAAGGUAACGGCUUACCAAGGCAACGAUGCAUAGCCGACCUGAGAGGGUGAUCCGCCACACUGGAACUGAGACACGGUCCAGACUCCUACGGGAGGCAGCAGUAGGGAAUCUUCCGCAAUGGGCGAAAGCCGGACGGAGCAACGCCGCGUGAGUGAUGAAGGUCUUCGGAUCGUAAAACUCUGUUAUUAGGGAAGAACAUAUGUGUAAGUAACUGUGCACAUCUUGACGGUACCUAAUCAGAAAGCCACGGCUAACUACGUG